ensembl:snoRNA SNORD61 small nucleolar RNA, C/D box 61
GCUGUGAUGAAUUUGAUUGCAUUGAUCAUCUGACAUGAGAAUUUAUUUUUGUCCUCUAAGAAGUUCUGAGCUU